rnacentral:rRNA from 1 species
CCUACGGGUGGCAGCAGUGGGGAAUAUUGGGCAAUGGAGGCAACUCUGACCCAGCAACGCCGCGUGAAUGAUGAAGGUCUUCGGAUUGUAAAGUUCUGUGAUGGGGGAUGAACACAAUGACGGUACCCCAAUAGCAAGCCACGGCUAACUACGUGCCAGCAGCCGCGGUAAUACGUAGGUGGCAAGCGUUAUCCGGAAUGACUGGGCGUAAAGGGUGCGUAGGUGGGUUAGUAAGUUGGCGGUGUAAUUCCGGGGCUCAACCUCGGCGCUACCGCCAAAACUAUUAGACUAGAGUGCAGGAGGGGUAAGUGGAAUUCCUAGUGUAGCGGUGGAAUGCGUAGAUAUUAGGAGGAACAUCGGUGGCGUAAGCGCUUUACUGGGCCGUAAUUGACGCUGAGGAACGAAAGCCAGGGUAUCAAACAGGAUUAGAUACCCCGGUAGUC